GGGGAAUAUUGCACAAUGGGCGCAAGCCUGAUGCAGCCAUGCCGCGUGUAUGAAGAAGGCCUUCGGGUUGUAAAGUACUUUCAGCGAGGAGGAAGGUGUUGAGGUUAAUAACCUCAGCGAUUGACGUUACUCGCAGAAGAAGCACCGGCUAACUCCGUGCCAGCAGCCGCGGUAAUACGGAGGGUGCAAGCGUUAAUCGGAAUUACUGGGCGUAAAGCGCACGCAGGCGGUCUGUCAAGUCGGAUGUGAAAUCCCCGGGCUCAACCUGGGAACUGCAUUCGAAACUGGCAGGCUAGAGUCUUGUAGAGGGGGGUAGAAUUCCAGGUGUAGCGGUGAAAUGCGUAGAGAUCUGGAGGAAUACCGGUGGCGAAGGCGGCCCCCUGGACAAAGACUGACGCUCAGGUGCGAAAGCGUGGGGAGCAACAGGAUUAGAUACCCUGGUAGUCCACGCCGUAACGAUGUCGACUUGGAGGUUGUUCCUUGAGGAGUGGCUUCCGGAGCUAAGCGUUAGUCGACCGCCUGGGGAGUACGGCCGCAGGUUAAACUCAAUGAAUUGACGGGGGCCGCACAGCGGUGGAGCUGUGGUUUAUUCGAUGCACGCGAAAAACUUACUACUCUGACUUC
rnacentral:rRNA from 1 species